UUUUAUAUGUGAAUACUUGUAUAUUGAAUGGAUUGGUUCGGUAGUUUGAAACUACCGAACGCCGACCACCCUCCUGGCUCAUUUACUUCAAAGAAAACUCCCUGGGCGGCCGCUGUUCGUAUAACCGAACGUCACGUGGAAAAGAAAACGGCGACCAUCUUGUUCGCACGAGGAGAUCCAGCGGGACUUGGUCGUCGAGUGUCUGGAACUAAAAUCGGACACUCAACCUCACGAACUACGGCUAGAAACUACCGAACGCCGGCUUCUCAUACUUCCCGAACAGCCAGGAAAGCCUCAUUCGGUAGUUCUGUGCGAACGAACAAG